GAUGAAGAACGCAGUGAAAUGCGAUAAGUAGUGUGAAUUGCAGAAUUCAGUGAAUCAUCGAAUCUUUGAACGCACAUUGCGCCCCUUGGUAUCCCGAGGGGCAUGCCUGUUCGAGCGUCAUUUCACCACUCAAGCCUGGCUUGGUGUUGGGCGACGUCCUCUUUGGGGACGCGCCUCGAAACGCUCGGCGGCGUGGCACCGGCUUUAAGCGUAGCAGAAUCUUUCGCUUUGGAAGUCGGGGCCCCGUCUGCCGGAAGACCUGCUCGCAAGGUUGACCUCGGAUCAGGCAGGGAUACCCGCUGAACUUAAGCAUAUAAAUAAGCGGAGGA
rnacentral:misc_RNA from 1 species